rnacentral:rRNA from 1 species
AAUUCCNUCUAAAGCUAAAUAUUGNCGAGAGACCGAUAGCGAACAAGUACUGUGAAGGAAAGAUGAAAAGCACUUUGAAAAGAGAGUGAAAAAGUACGUGAAAUUGUUAAAAGGGAAGGGUAUUGAAUCAGACGUGGUGCUGUUGUUCAACUUUGUUUCGGCAUGGUGUACUCAACAGUUACUAGGCCAAGGUGGGNNGUUUGGGNGUGAAAAAGGAAUAGGAAUGUAGCUCUUCGGAGUGUUAUAACCUNUUUUCAUAGCUCCNNAGGCGCCNCAGGACUGCGCUUCGGCAAGGACUUUGGCAUAAUNA